GAUGAACGCUGGCGGCGUGCCAAAUACAUGCAAGUCGAGCGAACAGAUAAGGAGCUUGCUCCUUUGACGUUAGCGGCGGACGGGUGAGUAACACGUGGGUAACCUACCUAUAAGACUGGGAUAACUUCGGGAAACCGGAGCUAAUACCGGAUAAUAUUUCGAACCGCAUGGUUCGAUAGUGAAAGAUGGUUUUGCUAUCACUUAUAGAUGGACCCGCGCCGUAUUAGCUAGUUGGUAAGGUAACGGCUUACCAAGGCGACGAUACGUAGCCGACCUGAGAGGGUGAUCGGCCACACUGGAACUGAGACACGGUCCAGACUCCUACGGGAGGCAGCAGUAGGGAAUCUUCCGCAAUGGGCGAAAGCCUGACGGAGCAACGCCGCGUGAGUGAUGAAGGUCUUCGGAUCGUAAAACUCUGUUAUUAGGGAAGAACAUACGUGUAAGUAACUGUGCACGUCUUGACGGUACCUAAUCAGAAAGCCACGGCUAACUACGUGCCAGCAGCCGCGGUAAUACGUAGGUGGCAAGCGUUAUCCGGAAUUAUUGGGCGUAAAGCGCGCGUAGGCGGUUUUUUAAGUCUGAUGUGAAAGCCCACGGCUCAACCGUGGAGGGUCAUUGGAAACUGGAAAACUUGAGUGCAGAAGAGGAAAGUGGAAUUCCAUGUGUAGCGGUGAAAUGCGCAGAGAUAUGGAGGAACACCAGUGGCGAAGGCGACUUUCUGGUCUGUAACUGACGCUGAUGUGCGAAAGCGUGGGGAUCAAACAGGAUUAGAUACCCUGGUAGUCCACGCCGUAAACGAUGAGUGCUAAGUGUUAGGGGGUUUCCGCCCCUUAGUGCUGCAGCUAACGCAUUAAGCACUCCGCCUGGGGAGUACGACCGCAAGGUUGAAACUCAAAAGAAUUGACGGGGACCCGCACAAGCGGUGGAGCAUGUGGUUUAAUUCGAAGCAACGCGAAGAACCUUACCAAAUCUUGACAUCCUUUGACAACUCUAGAGAUAGAGCUUUCCCCUUCGGGGGACAAAGUGACAGGUGGUGCAUGGUUGUCGUCAGCUCGUGUCGUGAGAUGUUGGGUUAAGUCCCGCAACGAGCGCAACCCUUAAGCUUAGUUGCCAUCAUUAAGUUGGGCACUCUAAGUUGACUGCCGGUGACAAACCGGAGGAAGGUGGGGAUGACGUCAAAUCAUCAUGCCCCUUAUGAUUUGGGCUACACACGUGCUACAAUGGACAAUACAAAGGGUAGCGAAACCGCGAGGUCAAGCAAAUCCCAUAAAGUUGUUCUCAGUUCGGAUUGUAGUCUGCAACUCGACUACAUGAAGCUGGAAUCGCUAGUAAUCGUAGAUCAGCAUGCUACGGUGAAUACGUUCCCGGGUCU
rnacentral:rRNA from 1 species